ensembl:miRNA
UCUCACGCUGUGACUCUCCAAAGGGAAGCACUUUCUGUUGUCUGAAGGAAAAGAACGCACUUCCCUUUAGAGUGUUACCAUUUGAGA